rnacentral:rRNA from 1 species
AGCGAACGCUGGCGGCAGGCUUAACACAUGCAAGUCGAGCGGGCAUCCUUGUGGUGUCAGCGGCAGACGGGUGAGUAACGCGUGGGAACGUGCCCUUCGGUUCGGAAUAACUCAGGGAAACUUGAGCUAAUACCGGAUACGUGCGAGAGCAGAAAGGUUUAUCUGCCGAAGGAUCGGCCCGCGUCUGAUUAGCUAGUUGGUGAGGUUAUGGCUCACCAAGGCGACGAUCAGUAGCUGGUCUGAGAGGAUGAUCAGCCACACUGGGACUGAGACACGGCCCAGACUCCUAGGGGGGGCAGGAGUGGGGAAAUUUGGAAAAGGGGGGCAACCCUGAUCCCGCCAGGCCGGGGGGGGGAUGACGGCCUUGGGGUGGUAAAGCUCUUUUCCCCGGGACGAUAAGGACGGUACCGGGGGAAUAAGCCCCGGCUAACUUCGU